UGGGGAAUUUUGGACAAUGGGCGAAAGCCUGAUCCAGCAAUGCCGCGUGUGUGAAGAAGGCCUUCGGGUUGUAAAGCACUUUUGUCCGGAAAGAAAUCCUUGGCUCUAAUACAGUCGGGGGAUGACGGUACCGGAAGAAUAAGCACCGGCUAACUACGUGCCAGCAGCCGCGGUAAUACGUAGGGUGCAAGCGUUAAUCGGAAUUACUGGGCGUAAAGCGUGCGCAGGCGGUUUGCUAAGACCGAUGUGAAAUCCCGGGCUCAACCUGGGAACUGCAUUGGUGACUGGCAGGCUAGAGUAUGGCAGAGGGGGGUAGAAUUCCACGUGUAGCAGUGAAAUGCGUAGAGAUGUGGAGGAAUACCGAUGGCGAAGGCAGCCCCCUGGGCCAAUACUGACGCUCAUGCACGAAAGCGUGGGGAGCAAACAGGAUUAGAUACCCUGGUAGUCCACGCCCUAAACGAUGUCAACUAGUUGUUGGGGAUUCAUUCCUUAGUAACGUAGCUAACGCGUGAAGUUGACCGCCUGGGGAGUACGGUCGCAAGAUUAAAACUCAAAUGGAAUUGACGGGGUCAUAGCUGUUUCCU
rnacentral:rRNA from 1 species